UACGUAGGUGGCAAGCGUUGUCCGGAUUUAUUGGGUUUAAAGGGUGCGUAGGCGGCCUUGUAAGUCAGUGCUGAAAUAUCCCGGCUUAACCGGGAGGGUGGCAUUGAUACUGCAGGGCUUGAGUAAAGUUGAGGUUGGCGGAAUUGACGGUGUAGCGGUGAAAUGCUUAGAUAUCGUCAAGAACACCGAUAGUGAAGACAGCUAACUGAGCUUUAACUGACGCUGAGGCACGAAAGUGUGGGGAGCAAACAGG
rnacentral:rRNA from 1 species